CCUACGGGGGGCAGCAGUGGGGAAUAUUGCACAAUGGGGGAAACCCUGAUGCAGCAACGCCGCGUGAGUGAAGAAGUAUUUCGGUAUGUAAAGCUCUAUCAGCAGGGAAGAAGAUGACGGUACCUGACUAAGAAGCCCCGGCUAACUACGUGCCAGCAGCCGCGGUAAUACGUAGGGGGCAAGCGUUAUCCGGAUUUACUGGGUGUAAAGGGAGCGUAGACGGCAGCGCAAGUCUGGAGUGAAAGCCCGGGGCUCAACCCCGGAACUGCUUUGGAAACUGUGCAGCUAGAGUGCAGGAGGGGUAAGUGGAAUUCCUAGUGUAGCGGUGAAAUGCGUAGAUAUUAGGAGGAACACCAGUGGCGAAGGCGGCCUACUGGACUGUAACUGACGUUGAGGCUCGAAAGCGUGGGGAGCAAACAGGAUUAGAUACCCUAGUAGUC
rnacentral:rRNA from 1 species